UACGGAGGGUGCGAGCGUUGUCCGGAAUCAUUGGGCGUAAAGGGCGCGUAGGUGGCCCGGCCAGUCCGUGGUGAAAGCGCGGGGCUCAACCCCGCGUCGGCCAUGGAUACUGCUGGGCUGGAGCACUGUAGAGGCAGGCGGAAUUCCGGGUGUAGCGGUGGAAUGCGUAGAGAUCCGGAAGAACACCGGUGGCGAAGGCGGCCUGCUGGGCAGUUGCUGACACUGAGGCGCGACAGCGUGGGGAGCAAACAGG
rnacentral:rRNA from 1 species